rnacentral:rRNA from 1 species
CUUAGAGAUAAGAGAGUGCUAGCUUGCUAGAAAGUUGAGACAGGUGCUGCACGGCUGUCGUCAGCUCGUGUCGUGAGAUGUUGGGUUAAGUCCCGCAACGAGCGCAACCCACGUAUUUAGUUGCUAACAGUUUGGCUGAGCACUCUAAAUAGACUGCCUUCGUAAGGAGGAGGAAGGUGUGGACGACGUCAAGUCAUCAUGGCCCUUAUGCCCAGGGCGACACACGUGCUACAAUGGCAUAUACAAUGAGAUGCAAUAUCGCGAGAUGGAGCAAAUCUAUAAAAUAUGUCUCAGUUCGGAUUGCUCUCUGCAACUCGAGAGCAUGAAGCCGGAAUCGCUAGUAAUCGUAGAUCAGCCAUGCUACGGUGAAUACGUUCCCGGGUCUUGUACUCACCGCCCGUCACACCAUGGGAGUUGAUUUCACUCGAAGUCGGAAUGCUAAAUUAGCUACCGCCCACAGUGGAAUCAGCGACUGGGGUGAAGUCGUAACAAGGUAACCGUAGGAGAACCUGCGGUUGGAUCACCUCCUUUCUAGA